rnacentral:rRNA from 1 species
CCUACGGGGGGCUGCAGUGGGGAAUAUUGGAUAAUGGGGGGAACCCUGAUCCAGCCAUGCCGCGUGUGUGAAGAAGGCCCUCGGGUUGUAAAGCACUUUCAGUGAGGAAGAACGCCUGGUGGUUAAUACCCAUCAGGAAAGACAUCACUCACAGAAGAAGCACCGGCUAACUCCGUGCCAGCAGCCGCGGUAAUACGGAGGGUGCGAGCGUUAAUCGGAAUUACUGGGCGUAAAGCGCGCGUAGGUGGCUUGAUAAGCCGGUUGUGAAAGCCCCGGGCUCAACCUGGGAACGGCAUCCGGAACUGUCAAGCUAGAGUGCAGGAGAGGAAGGUAGAAUUCCCGGUGUAGCGGUGAAAUGCGUAGAGAUCGGGAGGAAUACCAGUGGCGAAGGCGGCCUUCUGGACUGACACUGACACUGAGGUGCGAAAGCGUGGGUAGCAAACAGGAUUAGAUACCCUGGUAGUC